ACAGAGCUGGGACCCCCUCAAACCGCUCCCUCACGGGGCUGGGUCUCCUCUCACAGUGCUGAGAUCCCCUCAAACUGUUCCCUCACGGGGCUGGGUCUCCUCUCACAGUGCUGAGACCCCCUCAAACUGUUCCCUCAUGGGGCUGGGACCCCCUCAAACUGUUCCCUCACGGUGCUGGGACCCUUCUCACAGGGCAGGGACCCCCUCACAGGGCUGAGACCCCCUCACAGGGCAGCCCCUCAUAGCUGUUCCUUCACAGGGCUGGGACCUCCUCACAGAACUGCCCCUCACAGCUAUUCCCUCACAGCGCAGCCCCUCACAGGGCGGGGAUCCCCUCACAUCGCUGCCCGUCACAGCGCUGCCCUCUCGGUGCCGCUCCCCUCUGACAGCUCUUCCCUCACAGCGCUGUCCCUCACAGGUGUCUCCCCAUCGCAGGCUCGAAAAGCCCGAGGCGGGAGCUAAAACUCCCGACCCGACGUCUCGUCUCACGUUUCGAUCAGGCUGAGAGGGAAAUGAAGGAGGUUGUUCUGAGCAAAAAGAUCCAUGUGUGACAGCUGUGGAAAAAAAGGCCAACAACAAGGAAUGUGCACACACAGUGCUGCAUAAGCUACUGUUAUACUGCUCACCAUGAACUUCUAGAUCAUUUUAUGUGGAAAGAAAAAUUCCAAAAAUAUUCAGCCUAUUAAGGACUCAGUGGCAGAGAACUCUGCUCUUUUCCAAGGAGGGUUUUGACCAUGGCUCCAUGCAUGGUUCCAGCCCUUUAUUGGGUAAAUGAACGUUUCUUCAACCAAGCCUGAAGAUCAUCAUCCUUCUCCAACUGAAUUGGAACAGUUUGGUCACACCAAUGCCUCAGCCUUUGCCAAUGUGUUGAACACGAGGAGCACUUCUAACUCCUCUCAGUUUGAAACCAAUCAAGCCAAACUGGAGAAGACACAGAGAAGGAUGAUUAAUGGUACAGAGUUUUUCCUCGUGUGCAAAACCCCUCAGCUUGGGAACGAAUGAUACAGAGAAUGAGAACAGAAGUCUAAGAGAAUAACACUGAGUGGCAGAAGCUGGUGAACAUGGUUGUUUCUUAAAAAAAAAACCAAACCAGCAACCCACAAAUUUACCUGGUUAUACUUUCUAUUUUCAAGCUGACAAUGGUCUAAUUAAAUGCAGUAAUAGUCAAAUCCUUGAGGCAAUAUUCCUUCUUCCUCCAGCUUUUCAAAUUAUACUCACGGUUCUGAGAGACAAACAGUGUUUAGUGUUCUAGGUUACUGUUAAGUCCAUUGUGUCAAAAUAUUAAAUGCCACAGCAACAAAAAGUACAAACUUGACCCAGAUCAGAAAAUAGAGAUGGUCAUUAGUAAACAUCAUGUCUUGUCAUUGACAACUGGUGGGACACGGAGGGGUGGAGGAACAUGGGACAGAGGAGAGAGGGAGCAGGAAAGGGU